GGCAAUCCAAAAGCACAUUCUUCAUACAGGGAGCCUGCCACGAUUCCAGAUGCAAGCAUAUUUCCUAAUCACCUUUCAUUUCUACGUAUUAUAUAAAAUUUCUCACUGAUAUAUUGUUAAACAGCCAUGACACAACAAUAUUGAAAUUAAGCCAAUUAAUAAUGCUA